rnacentral:rRNA from 1 species
GCAAGUCGAGCGCUCACUUCGGUGGGAGCGGCAGACGGGUGAGUAACGCGUGGGAAUCUACCCAUCUCUACGGAACAACAGUUGGAAACGACUGCUAAUACCGUAUACGCCCUUCGGGGGAAAGAUUUAUCGGAGAUGGAUGAGCCCGCGUUGGAUUAGCUAGUUGGUGGGGUAAAGGCCUACCAAGGCAACGAUCAAUAGCUGUUUUGAGAGGAAGAUC